GUCCUGGUGGCUCGCAGUGAAACGUGGACUUCUCUCAGAUCCACAUGAACAGAUCGGACUCUCUUUUCUGGGUUUUCUUCCUCCUGUUGCUGGAUGUCUGGAUUCACGCUGACGGUGUCCCUGAGGUGGUGGCUCCAUGUGAAAAGGUGUUUGUUCGUCCGGGUGACGUGGCGGUGCUGCCGUGCCUCCUGAACCCCCGGCAGGACCUGACGUUCUACACCGUGGAGUGGUCCAGGAGGGACGGGCCGGACCAGGUGGACUACAUCCACAUCUACCGGCGGGGGAUCCAGGAGGCCACCGGCCCCACCCGGACCAGCCUGUUCCUGGACCAGCUGGCCCAGGGGAACAUCUCGCUGGCCGUCCUCAACGUGACGCUGGCCGACGGCGGGACCUACUGCUGCACCGUGCCCAGGCUCAGCGGCACGUCGGCAUCCGUGGAGCUGGUUGUUGGUGAGCAGACACUGACGGCGGAGUUCGCCCUCCAACCAAGCCAUUCCGCUUUUCGUCAAGUGUUUCACAUUGAAGUGUUCCAGUGUUCUCGCUGAUCUGUGAUUUUCUUUCUGGUAUUUCCAGACCCAAACUACAGCCGCCCCUCAACAACGUUCCCGCCCCCGACCUCCACAGUGCAGGUGUUCACCGUGGCACCGACCGACGCCGCCGGUCAGUAACCGCUCCCUCGCUCUCCCUCCCUCUCUCCCUCAAUGUUCCGGGCUGUUGGUGUGUUUUGGCUGACCCGUUUCAUGUUCUCACGUCUCACAGGUUCCGGAUCGGAGGUCAGAUCGUUCGCUCCCACCGCGGCGGCGUUCAGCUUCUUCAUCAUCCUCAUCCUCGCUCUCACUGUGGUCUCAAUAACCCUCAGCAAAAGCCCCAGGAACAAAGAGUACGUCAAGGAACCCUGUGAAGACCCUUUAACUGCGGCCCCACUGAACGGCCACGUUUGUGUCUGAUGGCGCGCUAGCUAGCGUAGCGUAGCACAUCGUAUCGUGGGUCCCAGGUUCUGCCCCCGCCGACUGCUGACGGAACUGAAUCCCACCCACCAGGUUUCCCUGGAACUAGCAACUGAACCAUGCCCCCGACUUUAGCAUUAGCAUGUAGCUCUGCGUGCGCCGUCGGAGUCCAGCUGUGGGGAAACGGCCAGAUGUGACGCGCAGCUGGAUGGCGCCGUCCAACGCCGGAGUCCAUGAGUCUCCGGUUCAGGACGUCAAGGUGAACUUAAAGAAGAAAAGUAAUCUGGAGAAUCAGAGGGACACUUUUUCUGUUUUUAAAUUUCAAAUAUUUAAGCUUCUGGUUUCACAAACUGGAAAGAAAAACAUACUGACUGUGAUUAUAUGAAGAAGAGUUGUCCUCAUCAAAUGUUGAUGUGGAAACUUAGAGUUAGGAUCUUUCUUUGUUUGCUGCUCUCAAUCUCACAGCGAAGUGAAAAGGUUGUGACAUCACUACACAUGAAGGCUGCAGAGUCCCGGGAGGACAAGGGCGUUCAGGAAAUAACACUUAACUAAUGUCGUUCUUCGUCCCGCUGCUUGAGUUGGAACUUGUCCAUUUACUUGAAAAUGGCGGCCAUUCUCUUGGACGAGGACCUGUUUGUAUUCUGCUAAUGUAACAUGUUUAUCAGUGUUAACUGCGUGCGUCUCAGCAUCACUCUGUAGCUCCUUUAUUUUCAACAAUCAAAAAAUCUAGAACAUUCAGUGUUUCUUAACAGGUCUUGGAGGAUAUCCGCUCGUCUUUCAUUUCCCUCACUCGUCUCCCGUCAAAGUUCUGUCCUUGACUUUUUUAAAGCUUAUUGUGCAUGUUAACCUUUAAUUCAUUUAAAACGUUGAAGGACCUUUUUUUAUUGAUUUGUAAUUUUAGAUUGUAGAGUGAAAUGUUUACAGUCAAAAGUUUAGUUUUGUUAUUUUAAGCUGAAUGUUUACUGAAGAGAAACGUUUCUGCUGUAAUACUGCUAAAGCAGUUUGAAGUGCAC
rnacentral:lncRNA from 1 species